rnacentral:rRNA from 1 species
GCGUCUAUAUACGUAUAGCAUAUCAAUAAGCGGAGGAAAAGAAACUAACUAGGAUUCCCUCAGUAACGGCGAGUGAAGCGGGAAGAGCUCAAAUUUGAAAUCUUCAAGGUUCUACCUUGACGAAUUGUAGUUUAAAGAAGUGUUUUCUGUUGGAGUUUUGGUAAAAGUUCUUUGGAAUAGGACAUCAUAGAGGGUGAGAAUCCCGUAUUUGACCAUUAUUUCCAACUUUGUGAUACACUUUCAAAGAGUCGGAUUGUUUGGGAAUGCAGUCCAAAAUGGGUGGUAAAUUUCAUCUAAAGCUAAAUACUGGCGAGAGACCGAUAGCGAACAAGUACCGUGAGGGAAAGAUGAAAAGAACUUUGAAAAGAGAGUUAAACAGUACGUGAAAUUGUCAAAAGGGAAGCGUUUGACACCAGUGUUGUUUUCUCGAAAAUCAAUUAAAAAUGGCCGGAUUUUGUGUUGUAUUGACUUCAUCAGCUUUCUGCACUCUUUUCCUGUCUUCUUUAAUGCACUUUUCGUUUAACAAGUCAACAUCAAUUUCUUUUGUUGUAAAAGGGUCAUUGGAAGGUGGCUUUCUUUUCGGAGAAAGUGUUUAUAGCCUUUGACUUCUGCAGUCGGAGAGAUUGAGGUCUGCAGCGUAGAUCCUUCGGGGUUAGAUACAUUUGUGCUAAGUUAUAGCCUUUCAUAGACAACUUGUUGACUAUGAUCAGUCAUGUAGCUUACUCGCUUAUGUUAUUUUACCUACGCUUAGGAUGUUGAUCUGUAGUGCGUGCGC